rnacentral:lncRNA from 1 species
UCCAUCUCCCUCCCCACACCACUUCUUCCAUCUCCGGCCGCCGCCGCGGCCAGGCCAGCGUGGCACCGCGCCAACCUGCCACCGCCGCCAUCCAUCACCACCACUCCCCGCUUCACCGCGCCAUCAUCACCACCGCACCACUGAAAACCACUGCGCCUCCAUCUUCACUAAGCCAUCCAUCCACCAUCACCAGCGCCACAUUGUGUGACCCACCAGACGGCCUGGCUGGACCUCCGCGCGAGAGUGCCCCUGCUGCCGUCCUUCGUCCUUCGCCUACUGCUGCUCUUCUUUCCCCACGCCUCUGCUGCUCCUCCUCUCAACACUGCUGUUGCUCCUCUACUUAAAACUGCUGCUGCUCCCUCUCCCACAUCCCUGCUGCUACACUCCUUCUCUAAACCUCUCUCUUGCUUCUUGUUGAUGCUCCUCUAUCCAUUCCCACACCGCUGCCUCUUGUUCUUCUCCGAUGAAACUGCUCCUCCUCCUCCUCCCUCUCUAAGCCACCUGUUGCUGCACCUGCUCUCCAACGCCCCUGAUGCCUAGUUCUCCUCUUUCCCUUUCCUUUCUACUGCUAAUCUGAACCCACUACUUCUUCUCUGAUCCCACCUGCUGUUAUUUCUAUGAACUUGAGAGUUGUAAGACUUUGAAAUGUCCAAAUUUGAACUAGUACUGGUAUGCUAGAUAUAUGUAUGUUUAUUCCAGAGACAUGGUGUUCUUGCUUAUUUUGUAGCUCAGUGUGAACUUGUACUAUUGACACUCUGUUUGUUUGUGUUGAAACUAGUUAAAUUCAUCACUGUGUAUUGCUUGCCGUAGAACCUUGUUUCAUUUUGUAGUCUCUGUGUUAGUUAUCUACCAGUGUAUAUGUGUUGUGAUAUGAAGUAUUUCCAUUAUGUCCCAUAAUCAUGUUUCCUCAAUCCUUUUCAUGUGAGAUAAAUUUAUGUGUUCUUAUCUUGUGACUUCCCUCUUGUCGUUGAUGUUCGUCUGUGUUACUGUUUUAGAUUCUCAAGCCUAAUGAAAAUACGAAAAAGUUAGUGAGUAAUAUCUUAAUCUCCCUGUGCUAUUUGCAUUUUAUUUGUGAAAGAUAUUCGGGUACAACCUUGUUUAGUUUAGUUUUAUUUUCCUGCUAUCAUACCACUCCUAAUUGAGUGAUCUAGCUUUAGCCGAGCAUAGUCGCUGAUUUGCCUAGUCCCUGUGAGGAACACGACAUCCGUAGUUUGGGAAAUAUAUUCCACUACAUUUACAUUUGAUCAUUUUGGCGCCGUCGUCGGGGACUAGCGUCGAGCGAUGGUGUGAAGCUAUAGACUAGGCUUAGUAUAGUUUUUGUUUAAAUUUCCAGUCAAUUUAUUUCUAUGCUUCUUUUACCUUUUUUUCUUUUUGUUGCUUCAGCUUAUUAGGAUACUAACUUUCUGACUAGUGUUUACUGUUUCUGAGUUUGCGUAGCAAAAUCUAAACUAAUUACAGGUUGUUCUAUAGUUACACUCGGUUAAGAUGGCAUUGCUUCGUGAUCUUUCGAUGCCCAAAAGUCAAUGCUAUAUCACAGGACCGGUUUGGCCAACUAUGGAGGCAGAGAACUUCGAGCUGAAACCUAGUCUUAUUGCUUUGGUUCAAAAACAUCAGUUUGGAGGGUUGCCUACUGAAGAUCCUUACGGGCACUUGCUCCGAGUCCUGUAGUAUUCAGAUACAGUAAAGUACCAUGGAGUUCCUCAAUAUGCUAUCAAGUGUAUGCUGUUCACUCUCUCUCUCUCUCUCUCUGUGAUGAUGCUCGUGCUUGGUACCAAUCCUUGCCAUCAAGGUCAUACAGUUGGAAUGAGAUAUCACAAGCAUUCUUGGAUAAAUAUUUCCCACUACACAAGCAGUCUGCGAUUCAAGAUGAGAUCUUCAACUUUGUUCAGCGUGAAGGCGAGAGUUUGUAUGAUGCUUGGGAGAGGUACAAAGCCUUGUUCAGGAGAUGUCUUAAUCAUUGGCUCGAGAGAUGGUUAGAGCUGCAGAUAUUCUAUAGAGGAUUGACUUCGGACACUCGAGCUUACGUUGAUAUGGCAUCGGGUGGAGCUAUUACAAACAAGACACUUGAUGAUGCUUUUCUGCUGAUUGAGAACAUAGCCUUCCACCAACUUCAGUGGUACAAUGAGAAGCCCACCUCUGAUUUAGCUGCUUGCUUGCAACAAAUCACUUCAUCUCAGCAAGAUUCUCUUACACAAAAACCUGAACCUCUAUCUCAGUGUGACAAGAUUGAGCUUGCAUGGAUUAUCUUUGACGAUGAUGAUACCAUUCUAGUUGACACGCACGCUACAGAUCAUAUGGAUACUAGUGUUGGAGAUUCAGUUUUGCAUUGUGAUGAUUCUUCCAUGGAUGAGCCAGAGCUGCAGUUAGUUGCUUUUGAUAUUGAGGAGACACCUUUACUUGAUAUUGAUCAUGUGCUUCUAUAGCAAGAUAUGGAGAAGUUCGCCUUCGAUGAUGUUAGCUGCAUUGAUUCCUCAACACUUGAGCCUGAGAUGGAGAGCUUCAUGGUUGAUUAUGGUGAGGUGGAUUCAGAUGUCAAGGAGCCAAGCUCUACUAUUUCACUUGUUGACACGAGUCCGGUGGAAAUUGCUACUACCGCACCUCACUUGGUAUCUUCAGUUGAGGUAGUCCUGAACCUUCUUCCUAACUAUCUCAGGUAUGAUCGCAACUUUCUCGACAAGAUAUGCCAUAUCAUGGAUACUGCCUAUGCACCAUGCGAUUUGUUGAUGAUAUCUAUUUAUCAUAUGCUCAAUAGAUAUGCUUAUGUGAUAGGAUACUCUAUUUAUGACUUAGAGGGCAUUGUCCCUAUCACUUGUAUUGGCUUGUUUGUUGAGUGUUCUUUCAGGUUUAUGCUUGUGCACCUUCAUUGCGGGCUGAUCAAGUUCGAGAUGACAUCCCAUGGGAUCCUGGUGGAUUCACGGCAUGGUGAUGAGGAGAAGCAAGGAGCACACAUGAGGAAGAGCGAAGUUGGAGCAUGCAUGAGGAAGCAAAAGGAGAGAGUUGCAGUUCAGAGAGCGAUUGUGCGAGACCUACAUCAUAUAUGCCCGGUGAGCUGUUUCAUGACCCCAAUCUGAAUACCAUCAUACAUUAUACAAGUUGCAAUCAAUUGCUAUUUGGGUUGCUUGAGCCAUUUCUUAAAUGUUGUCCCACUUAAUUUUAUUUGACAUAUGCUGCUUGAUGAGAAUAUGCGAACUGAUUGUUGAAUGCCAUGUAAACUAGUGAUCUACAUAUUGCCUGCUUUGCUGAAAUUAGUGAAAGCUAUUAGUUUUGAGUGCUCAAAUCCCUAGUACACUAGAAAACUUAAUCAUUUUCUGCUUUUACCUCGAUACACCUAGAUCAUUAAGUUCCAGAUGCUGAGUUUGUGCCUAAUGUGUUCCCAUUCAGAGCAAUCACUUACCACUAUGGAUUAGCAUCCUAUGUUCUCUGGAUCGGUAGCAUGUGAACUAGACAUGGAUGAGUGAUGAUUCUUGUUUUUGCUCAUUUGAAAAAUGAAAAAAAUAUCUUAUAAUGAAUAUGUAAGUUUGACUACCUACAGUAGCAUGUCAUGUUCCCUGGAUCGGUGGCAUGUGAAAUCUGGUAGCUUGGACAGUAAUAAAUAAAAAAUGCAAUAUUUGUUGAACCAGGUGUAUACCAUGUUCUUGGGAUCGGUGGUAUGUUCCUUUGGGGAGACAAACAAAAAAACUAUAUAAUUGGUCGAGCCAGGUGUAUACCAUGUUCUCGGGAUCGGUGGUAUGUUCCUUUGGUGAGACUGAUAAAAUAUUAUCAUUGCUUCCUUCAAAUUCAAUAAGUGGUUCUACCACAAUGUUGUGUUCCUAGUAAUAGGUGUCUCUCGGGAUCAUGCUCUCUUUAGGAACCUUUUGGCACAAUCCGCAUUUAAACUGGUUGAUCUUCUUUUAUCAUUGUAGAAGUUUAAAAUGAUUGAUUCUACUAGUAUCCUACUGCUUUGUAACACUCUUAACCAUUGAUUUUCACUGCUAAGUCAAAAGAAUGCAUUGUUUGGAGAUCUACUUCACUUGGACAUUCUCUAGUCAGCUCACUAUUCACCAUCUAGCUAUUGCCCUUAUGCCUUUUCUUGAGGACAAGUAAAGAUUUAAGUGUGGGGGAACUUGAUAAGCACGUUUCUUAUAUAUAAUUUUGGCAUACAAAUAUACCAUUGUUGAGAUCUAACCAUUAAUCUUGCUAUGAACUGUUGCAUAUUUGGAUAAAAAUCAUAUAAAGAACCAUUUACUAGUCAUUUGUUUCUUUUGCAGAAAAGUGCGAGAAGGCACUAUAAACUUCAAGAUCCGGACUAAAGUAGCUAAGAGAACGAAGAAGAGGAGGAAGAAUGGACUUGUGUGAGAAGAAACGAAGUAACCAGGGGGCCAACUAUGGAAGAGAAGAUCAUCUUGUGCUAAAAGUAAAGGAGGAGGGCCAUAUUGCAAAAGGUGCAGAUCAGAGGAGGGGAAUCGAAAUCCCUAGCAGCAGCCCGAUCCCCUUUUGAGCCUGGCAUCUCCAUCUCUCUCCCCCUCACCACUUCUUCCAUCUCCGGCCGCGGCGGUGGCCAGGCCCGCGUGGCGGCACGCCAACCACCCACCGCCACCAUCCAUCACCACUACUCCCCGCUUCACCGCGCCAUCAUCACCACUGAACACCACCGCGCCUCCACCUUCACUGCGCCAUCCAUCCACCAUCACCAGCGCCACAUUGCGCGACCCACCAGACAGCCUUGCUGCACCUCCGUGCGAGAGUGCCCCUGCUGCCGUCCUUCGUCCUUCGCCUGCUGAUACUCUUCUUUCCCCACGCCUCUGCUCCUCCUCCUUUCAACACUACUGCUGCUCCUCUACUUAAAACUGCUGCUGCUCCCUCUCCCACGUCCCUGCUGCUGCACUCCUUCUCUGAACCUCUCUCUUGCAGCUUGUUGCUGCUCCUCUAUCCAUCCCCACGCUGCUGCCUCUUCUUCUCCCAUGAAACUCCUCCUCCUCCUCUCUCUCUAAGCCACCUUCUGUUGCACCUGCUCUCCAACGCCCCUGAUGCCCAGUUGCUCCUCUUUCCCUUUCCUUUCUGCUGCUAAUCUGAACCCACUACUUCUCUGAUCCCACCUGCUGUUAUUUCUAUGAACUUGAGAGUUGUAAGACUUUGAAAUGUCCAGAUUUGAACUAGUAUUGGUACGCUAGAUAUAUGUAUGUUUAGUCCAGAGACAUGGUGUUCUUGCUUAUUUUGUAGCUUAGUGUGAACUAGUACUAUUGACACUAUUCGUUUGUGUUGAAAUUAGUUAAAUUCAUCACUGUGUAUUGCUUGCCGUAGAACCUUGUUUCAUUUUGUAGUCUCUAUGUUAGUUAUCUACCAGUGGUAUAUGUGUUGUGAUAUGAAGUAUUUCCAUUAUGUCCCAUAAUCAUGUUUCCUCAAUCUUUUUCAUGUGAGAUAAAUUUAUGUGUUCUUAUCUUGUGACUUCCCUCUUGUCGUUGAUGUUCGUCUGUGUUACUGUUUUAGUUUCUCAAGCCUAAUGAAAAUACGAAAAAGACAGUGAGUAAUAUCUUAAUCUCCCUGUGCUAUUUGCAUUUUAUUUGUGAAAGAUAUUCGGGUACAACCUUGUUUAGUUUACUUUUAUUUUCCUG